GAUAGAAAAAGAGCACACAAAUAGUUUUGCUUUGAAGUUCCUACGUAAUUACUGUUAAGAUCUAUCAAAAUGUACUGUGAGACAGCUCUUUUUGCUCAAAUCUGAUGAAUGAAAGGGCAGGCAACAUCCGGGAAGACUUUUUAAAAGAAUGGAUCAAAUUAAGAAAAGAACAAAUGCAACCAAGUUUAUAUCUUUGCUGCUCCUUGCUGCACAUCACUGGAAAUGUAUAUAUUGCAUUUUAACCUCAGUGACUGAUGGACUCUCUGGAGAAAUUGAAUUCCUUUUCCAGUGAGAGGAGUAUUUAACAGGAGGAGAAGAAUCAUAGAAUCAUGGGAUUUUCAAGCUGAGAGAACCUGGAGACACAGAGCUCAAGUGAAAAGGAAAUCAUAGAUCGAAGGAAAACGUGGAGAAUUGGAGUUUAGGGGAUACCAGAUUUGUCAAUGGAAUUAUUUCGGUCUAUGCCUAGAAAUACAUUAACUGUCAGGGAGUCACGCCUUUGUGAAUGUUCCAGCAACCAAAUCAAAUUAUAGGACCCAACACACUGUCAGGAGUCCUUUCUAAAUAUUUAAACCCUCUAGCUCCACACCAUUUGUAGAUUCGAGAUCAUUAAUUUACUCUUGGAUUGUUAAUUAUAUCGAAGCAAUGGGAAACUGAGCUUGUAGGUUUUAUGGACGCCGCUUCUGUGCAAGUGAUUGUUGGUACUUUCAGGGACUAAAAGCUUAAACUUUAACUGCAUUUUAAGCAUUUGAGACCGGGGGAAGUGGGAGCUGCGAGUAAAUGCUUUCAGCAGGGCUUGCUACACUGGGAUGAUAGAAGCCCGGGGCUUCCUGUGACCUUGCCUCACCCCCGCCUCACCCACUAUGCCACGGAAAGGAAGCCCCAGUCAGGAGGGAGAAUAUGGCAAAUGGACAGAGAAGCCGAGAUGAGAGACGGAGAGAGGGAACCCUCAUGCCAUGAUGUGCUGCUGAAACCAAGGCCACACCUGUCCUUCCCACUCCUUAAGCCGAUAACGGUUUGAACUGGGAUCCUGUUACUUCCCAUCAACAGACCUUUGACGAAUAGGGUU